rnacentral:rRNA from 1 species
UGGGGAAUUUUGCACAAUGGGGGAAACCCUGAUGCAGCGACGCCGCGUGAUUUAGAAGGCCUUCGGGUUGUAAAAAUCUUUUUUACGGGAUGAAAAUGACAGUACCGUAAGAAUAAGGUCCGGCUAAAUACGUGCCAGCAGCCGCGGUAAUACGUAUGGACCGAGCGUUGUCCGGAAUCAUUGGGCGUAAAGGGUACGUAGGCGGCCUAGUAAGUUAGAAGUGAAAUAAUAUAGCUCAACUAUAUAAAGCUUUUAAAACUGCUAGGCUUGAGAGAUGGAAGGGAAAGUGGAAUUCCUAGUGUAGCGGUGAAAUGCGCAGAUAUUAGGAAUAAUACCGGUGGCGAAGGCGACUUUCUGGUCAUCAUCUGACGCUGAGGUACGAAAGCGUGGGUAGCAAACAGG